AGUGAACGCUGGCGGUAGGCCUAACACAUGCAAGUCGAACGGCAGCACAGUAAGAGCUUGCUCUUACGGGUGGCGAGUGGCGGACGGGUGAGGAAUACAUCGGAAUCUACUUUUUCGUGGGGGAUAACGUAGGGAAACUUACGCUAAUACCGCAUACGACCUACGGGUGAAAGCAGGGGAUCUUCGGACCUUGCGCGAUUGAAUGAGCCGAUGUCGGAUUAGCUAGUUGGCGGGGUAAAGGCCCACCAAGGCGACGAUCCGUAGCUGGUCUGAGAGGAUGAUCAGCCACACUGGAGCUGAGCCACGGUCCAGACUCCUACGGGAGGCAGCAGUGGGGAAUAUUGGACAAUGGGCGCAAGCCUGGUCCAGCCAUACCGCGUGGGUGAAGAAGGCCUUCGGGUUGUAAAGCCCUUUUGUUGGGAAAGAAAAGCAGCAGGUUAAUACCCCGCUGUUCUGACGGUACCCAAAGAAUAAGCACCGGCUAACUUCGUG
rnacentral:rRNA from 1 species